CAGCAGCCACGGUAAUACCAGCAGCCCAAGUGGUGGUCGCGAUUAUUGGGCCUAAAGCGCUCGUAGCCGGGCCGGUAAGUCCCUUGUGAAAUCGGACGGCCUAACCGUUCGGCGUGCAAGGGAUACUGUCGGUCUUGAGGCCGGGAGACGUCCGAGGUACUCCGGGGGUAGCGGUGAAAUGUUCUGAUCCUCGGGGGACCACCGGUGGCGAAGGCGUUCGACGAGAACGGGCCUGACGGUGAGGGGCGAAGGCUAGGGGAGCAAACGGGAUUAGAUACCCGCGUAGUCCCUGUCUCUUAUA
rnacentral:rRNA from 1 species